rnacentral:rRNA from 1 species
AAAACUGGGGUUAAUUCCCGAUGGGUGAGGAGGCCUGGAAUGGUUCUUCACUGAAAGGGCGCUAGAGGCAUGCUCUCUAACGUUGCCCAAGGAUGGGGCCGCGGCCGAUCAGGUUGUUGGUGAGGUAACGGCUUACCAAGCCUAUAACCGGUACGGGCCGUGAGAGCGGAAGCCCGGAGAUGGGCACUGAGAUAAGGGCCCAGGCCCUACGGGGCGCAGCAGUUGCGAAAACUCCGCAAUGCACGAAAGUGUGACGGGGCUACCCCGAGUGCCGUCCGCUGAGGAUGGCUUUUCUCCGCUGUAAGGAGGCGGAGGAAUAAGGAGAGGGCAAGACUGGUGUCAGCCGCCGCGGUAAUACCAGCUCUCCGAGUGGUAGGGGUGAUUAUUGGGCUUAAAGCGUCCGUAGCCGGCCUGGCAAGUCUUCCGUUAAAUCCAGCAACCUAAUUGUUGGGCUGCGGGGGAUACUGUUAGGCUUGGGGGCGGGAGAGGCCGACGGUAUUCUCGGGGUAGGGGUGAAAUCUUAUAAUCCCGAGAGGACCACCAGUGGCGAAGGCUGUCGGCUAGCACGCGCCUGACGGUGAGGGACGAAAGCUGGGGGAGCGAACCGGAUUAGAUGCCCGGGUAGUCCCUGCUGUAAACGAUGCGAGCUAGGUGUUGGGGCGGCUACGAGCCGCUUCAGUGCCGCAGCGAAGGCGUUAAGCUCGCCGCCUGGGGAGUACGGCCGCAAGGCUGAAACUUAA